rnacentral:lncRNA from 1 species
UUUAUCACUCCCUAAAGGGCCAGGGAUAAGUGAAUAAUUAGACAAUUUAAAGGGCAAAGCGUGGUAAAUUUGUCCUACUACUGUAGCAAGUUUCACUCCAAUAGUUUUAAAAAUAAGGGAUAUAGCAGCCCCUGAAGUUUCCCCAAUAGUAACGGAGGAGCGAUAUGCUUGCUUUAAAACUACAUGUCCCAGAUGCCCCAGUUCCUCUUCCCUCUUAACAUUCCCCACCCCCCUUUUGUCCUCACUCUUUCCUUAUUAAUAACAUGGACCAUCUUGACCAGACUUGGACAUCUGUGAAUUCUUGGAAGGCAUCCUGGAAGCCUGCAGCUUGCUCCACCCUUCACUUACACCUUCCCGGUGAGGCGCCCCCUCACCUUGUCAUAGGGACCGUGUUAAGUCACUUAUUUCCACGAAUCCUGGUGAGUGGUUUUUCUUCUACUGUACUUGUACAGCACUGCCCUUACUGUUUUCAUAUGGUCGCUGCAUAUGGUGGGGUUGCGGCCAUGGCUGUUUUUGAGCUCCCCCCACCAUAUGGGGCGACCACAGAUUCUCCAGUCCGGCUCGGAAGUUUCAGCACCCGCCCUAUAAGACAAUACCUAGUGUAUAAGACGGUCCCUGACUUUUGAGAAGAUUUUCUUGGGUUAAAAAGUAGUCUUAGAUGCCAGAAAAUGCAGUAAAAACUAGGGAAGGGAGAGUGAUGCUGUGAGCAGAGGAGUGCAGGAAACACGAGAGGACACACUGUUGCAGUGUGAAAGCAAGGCGGGGACAGAGGGACAACAGGUUUACUUUCUCAACUUUAGUCUCCUUGCUCCAAAACCAGCACUAUUAUUCUGUAAUGGUUCUCUCAAAUCAAUCUCACCUGUAAAAAUACCAUAAAAUCAGUGAAAUGUAAAAUGCAACAAUUAAUAUGAAGAAUUUGCAUAAUUACAUUAUAUUAAUUUAAAUUAUUUGUACAAUAUGCAAAUUAUAUGCCCAUGUUUGAGGGUAUGGAAUAUGACAAUCCUACUAAUGAGGUCUUGCUUACUUUGAUACUGUGAGAGUUACUGCCAUGAGUAAAUCUCCUGUGUUUGGCUCAUGGCUUAGUCGCUUGCCCAUACACAAAGGAAGGCAGCCAGUGGAGCUGUGGGGGAGUAUAUUUGCCUCAUGGGGAUGGGUUGGAGCCCCUGGUGGCGUAGUGGAUUAAAGCCUUGUGACUUGAAGGUUGGGCUGCUGAUCUGAAAGCUGCCACGUUCGAAUCCCACCCGGGGAGAGUGCGGAUGAGCUUCCUCUAUCAGCUCCAUGUGGGGGCAUGAGAGAAGCCUCCCAUAAGGAUGAUAAAAACAUCAAAACAUCCGGGCGUCCCCUGAACAACGUCCUUGCAGACGGCCAAUUCUCCCACACCAGAAGUAACUUGCAGUUUCUGCUGGGCAGAAAAGCUCUCCAAACACACUGGGAUGGCAGAAAACCAUGGGUGAUCAAAACCUAGAAAGAUCCCGUGGACGGAAAAAAAAAGCCAACAAGACACAAGAUCAGCACCCUUUCGGCCAGGAGAUGGCUCUGCAGCACAUACAACAGUAGUAGUUCCCCAUUUUCUGAUCUGGGCUCAACAAAAGUGAACAUCCUCUGCCAACAAAAGCAAGAACAGGAAGAGAUAUUUUUAUUUUUAUUUAUGGAGUUGAGAUGGAUGAACUGGCUCUGACAUGCAUAUGCAAAUAUAGUGGAAAGAGAAGGCGCAAAAGAAAAUGAUAUGCCAAUUUAAGGGAAAGACAAGGUGCCUCUGUUAUCAGAAACAAAAGCUCGACAGAGUUGAUGUAAAACUAGAAGGUGAAGGAGAAUAAACCCAGCUCUGUAGAAAGAAAGGAGAAUGUUUAGGAGGCAGAUAGAAAAGGUGGAAGUGGUGGUAAAGCUUGGCUUUGCCAAAAGAAGAGCCUUAUGGCUGGCUGUUAUGAGAAGUAGAAGACUAGAGGGCCUCAUUUAGCAAUGGCUGUGGCAAUAUAGAAAUGAAAAUAUGAUGACGACGACCCACGUUAAAGGGUUUACCUGUUUCAUUUGCACCCUAUGAUAUAAGAUAAGCAUGGCUUUGGUUUAUGAGGAGAGCUCCAGACACAGUCCCCUCCAAAUGUACGUUCUACUUCAAAUAUGACAUAGUAUUGAAAUAUAAGAGCUUCCCUGCCCACAGUUUCAAUCUUAAUGCACCUGGUCUUUGGUACAUUUAUUUGGCUUCUUGCAAAAAGACUAUUUACUGUCUAGUGCAAAUGUUUUGACUCAUGGAGCCCUUUUUAGAAUGGCAGAGUCCCUUAGGUAGGUAAAGGUUUUCCCCUGACAUUAAGUCUAGUUGUGUUCGACUCUGGGGGUUGGUGCUCAUCUCCAUUUCUAAGCCCAUGAGCCAGCGUUGUCCGUAGACACCUCCAAGGUCAUGUGGUUGGCAUGACUGCAUGGCACACCUUAGGCCUACUCUAUGUCUUACAAGUUAAUGGUGUUAUGGGGGAAAGUAGAGGGGAUAGAUAAAGAUAUAUAGAGAUAUAAACAAUUAUGCAAUGUCCAUACAAUGAAAUUGUAUUUUAAAUAUUUUGACAUUUAUCAGAUUGUCUCAAUUUAUGUUAACUACCAUGAGUACACAUGGUACUGUCAAAACUUAGCUAUACAUCAAAAUUCUUCCAAAGUUCAAUAAAUCAAACCAGUUGUGUUACAAAAGAACUAAAGUGCACUGUGGUGCAACAGUAGACAGAAAUUAAAACGUAAUAAUAAUAAUAAUAAUAAUAAUAAUAAUAAUAAUAAUAAUAAUAAUAAUAAAACUUUAUUUAUACCCCGCCACCAUCUCCCCAAUGGGGACUCGGGGCGGCUUACAUGGGGCCAUGCCCGGGACAAAUACAAUAUAGCAAAAUAUAAAAACAACAUAUCAUAAUACAAUUACAACAAUACAAUAAAUGAUCGUAUACAGUACAACACAAAAUCAAAAAAGCAAUAUAACAGGGCGGGCCGCAUGAACACUCAGUUAAAACUCGGGGUGAGAAAAGGAUAAGAAUAAAACCACGGGGAACAGGGACAUAAGAUAGCAAACAAUCUAGGGGAUAACAUAAUGUAACAUAAAUAACAAACAGUAUAUAUGUUUAAUGGGACACCUGUGCUUGCAUUUUUUACACAGUAGAAGAGACCACAUGGGCCAUCUAGUCCAACCCCCUGCCAUGCAGGAAAAGCACAGUCAAAGUAUCUUAUAUUGAAUCUACAUUUUGUUUCUUAUUCUUUAAUUUUAUUCAAUUUUUAUUUAUUUUAAUUAUCUGGAGUAGCUGCGGAUCCUCUAGAAGUGCAUGCAGAGCCCUUGGAGUUUCAUGGAGCACAGGUUGGGAACCACUGGUCUAGAGUAUAAAAAAGUCUUCAGGCUAUGAUGCUAUCAGGCAGCAAGUUUAAUUUAGGUUUUCUGUUCGGCCAGAUGGGAAUUGUACGGGCUGUGGCGCAGGCGGGAGAGCAAGCCAGCUGCAAUUAACUGCAAUGAAUCACUCUGACCAGGAGGUCAUGAGUUCGAGGCCCGCUCGGAGCCUAUGUUUGUCUUGUCUUUGUUCUAUGUUAAAAGGCAUUGAAUGUUUGCCUAUAUGUGUAAUGUGAUCCGCCCUGAGUCCCCUUCGGGAUGAGAAGGGCGGAAUAUAAAUGCUGUAAAUAAAUAAAUAAAUAAAUAAAUAAAUAAAUAAAUAAACUGGAUGUUGUUGGCCAGCAAAUCCCAGGAACUCUACCCAGCAUCACCAAGUUGGUGAGAAGUCGAACACCAUCCAGAGAUCAGAUAGUUAUGUGCAAGGAUCUGUCUGGUACUCACUAUCCAAAGAAAGUUAAUGCCAUCAAGCAUGAUAUUUUCUUACACACCAGAUUCAAAGGGGCUUAAUUUAGCCACAUUGAAGUAGGUUGUUCCAGUUUUUCAAGAGAAAGGAGAACUACUCAAGUCAGUGAAUCUUAUGCAGAGCCGGUCCAACAAUGAGGCGAAUUAGGCAGUCGCCUGUAGCGCAAAACAUACAGGGGCGCAGUCAAGACUGCUUUUUCUGUUGAUUUGUUGUAAAACAUGAUGUUUUGGUGCUUAGUUUGAAAAAUAUUAAUGUAAUUUGAUGUUUAAUAGGCUUUCCCUUAAUCCCUCCUUAUUAUCCAACAUUUUCGCUUAUCCAACGCUUUUAUUUUUCAGUGAUUGGUUUGGGGGGGGGGGAAUUCUGUUCGCCUACACUUGAAAAAUACCUAGGGGCGGCUCUGGAAUCUUAUGUAAUAAUUUCAUCUCUCUUUUCAUACUGCAAAGUCUCUGCAUUCCUAGAACUUCUAAAGCUUUGUCUGGAUGUUUCCCUCUCCCUCAAGUCAUUCCAAAAAAGAUCCUUGUAAGUUGUGUAUAUUUUUUUAAUGUUGGUCACUACUGCUUUACUGGAAGCUUCUGAAAGCAUCACAUUCAAACUAUCAGAAAACUGACCAACUGCAUGCAAGUAUGAUAAAACAAAACUAUAAUUGAUUCAAGCUUUUUUAUUCAUCCCUAUUACAUUAAUUAGGAAUUAAUUGCCUGCCUAGUGCAAAUGGCUGAAGAAUCAAGGACAAUUAAGAAAACAACCUUUUUUUUACAGUUGUGUGUGUGUGUGAUUAUUUGUUCAGUCGCUUCCAGCUCUUUGUGACUUCAUGGACCAGAGCUUCCUGUCAGCCAUGGCCACCCCCAGCUUCUUCAAGGUCGAGUUUGUCACUUCAAGGAUAAAAUCCAGCCAACUUGUCCUUGGUCCAGCCCCUCUUCCUUUUUCCUUCCAAUCCCCCAGCAUCAUGCUCUUCUCCAAGCUUUCCUGUCUUCUCAUGAUGUGGUCAAAGUGUGUCUUCUCAUGAUGUGGCCAUCUUUGCCUCUAAUAUCCUUCCCUCCAGUGAGGGCUUGGAGGAUGGACUGGUUGGAUCUUCUUGCGGUCCGUCACUCUGAGGAUUUUUCUCCAACACCAAAAUUCAAAUGUGUCUAUCUUUCUUCACUCAGCCUUCCUUAUGGUCCAGCUCUUCCAUCUAUAGUUUACUAUGGGGAAUACCACUCCUUUUACUAUGCAGACCUUUGUUGCCAGUGUGAUGUCUCUUCUCUUAACUAAUUUAUUAUUUUAAUUUUUUAAAAUUAGUCAUAAAAUAAGCAUUGUAGUGGCAUGUUUAUGAGAUAUGAUACUAAUUUAUAGCCCUAGUCCAUUAUAGUCUUUUGUCCCUAAUCACAUAGUUUUCUAUAGUGUUCACUAAGGCAUUAUACAGACAAUUCCUAAAGGCUUUUACAUAUUCAAUCUUAUCAUAUUCUUAAUCAUUUUAUACUUAACCAAUUAUCCAUGUCAAUCUC